rnacentral:rRNA from 1 species
GGAGGGUGCAAGCGUUAAUCGGAAUUACUGGGCGUAAAGCGCACGCAGGCGGUUUGUUAAGUCAGAUGUGAAAUCCCCGGGCUCAACCUGGGAACUGCAUUUGAAACUGGCAAGCUUGAGUCUUGUAGAGGGGGGUAGAAUUCCAGGUGUAGCGGUGAAAUGCGUAGAGAUCUGGAGGAAUACCGGUGGCGAAGGCGGCCCCCUGGACAAAGACUGACGCUCAGGUGCGAAAGCGUGGGGAGCAAACAGGAUUAGAUACCCUGGUAGUCCACGCUGUAAACGAUGUCGACUUGGAGGUUGUUCCCUUGAGGAGUGGCUUCCGGAGCUAACGCGUUAAGUCGACCGCCUGGGGAGUACGGCCGCAAGGUUA